CUCAAACUAAAUUGGUUUAAUUCCUUGUACCUGCUGUGUAUUUAGAUGAGAUCAACUAGACAGACCUUUCCCAUUGGUUAAAGGUCAAAAAUAGCCUAAAGACACGUUGUUUACAGCACAUCAUGUUGAGAAAUACACUUUUCAUAGAAAGCAUGACCAUAUUAUCAUUAGUGGUGAUAAAAAGCUUAAACAGCUCUGUGGAUAUAAUUACAGAGGAUUAUUUUUAAUCACAAAUCUAUUUCAAGGAAUAGUAGAAGAAAAAAAAUUCACCAGAGAAUAAUUUCAUUAUUAAUUUGUAAUCAUUAUUUCUGGAUUAUAGAAAACAUUGUUUUCCUUUCCAGAACUAGGAUACAUUUUGGAGUCUCCAACCAAUUCUGAGUAAGCAAGAGUCAUAUCUUUAUAACUAAUAUAACUAAUUAUAAAUAACUUUACUAUUGUCUGCUCCUAUGCAAAGUUAUGGUGCAGCACGAUGACUGAAAUGCUGUUUUGUGUUUAAUUAUUGUAAGAUGCAAGACGGAAACUAAUCCCUUUUUUUCAGCAUUUCAAAUUAUUUCUCUUGAAAAAUAUUUAAAUUUUUGCAAAAUUUUUAGAUUUUUUGUAAAUUACUUUUGUAAAUAUUUUGAAGUCUUUGACUUGUAGAACUGAAUAAGAAAUUAUUAGAUGCAUCUUUUCAGAGAGUAUAAAUAUAAGGCUUAUAUCUUACUUGAGAGCGGUUUAAAGGGCCCUACCAAAGCAAAUGAGAAUCAUCUUGACUCAUUCAGGCUGGAAAAUGGUGUUGGUUUUUACUUAGCUUCAAUGAUUCGUGUUGUCAUUUUCAAAACAAGAGAGUAAUAUUUUUAAUUUCAGAGCUCCUGUCCAUUGGCAGGUGACUACUUCAUCAAGCCGACUUUUCACUGGGAUAGAAGAACCAGAAAAUGAACCUGGCACUAGAAGCUUGCAUUCUUUCCUCAGCUAGGAAAGUGAUGGGUCUCUCCAGAUCAAGAUUCACCAAAGCAUAUACCAGACUUUUGAUGCUGGAUGUGAAGGCAGAGAAACAAUUUACUGUUGUGAAACAAAGAGCCUCUUCCUCAGGAGACGCAGACUGGUAAAGUAUGUCAUUAUUUUCCAAUCAUUCCCUCCAUCCCUUUUGUCAUCAGCCUCCUCCUGGACCAGUGUAUAACAGCAGAGAAUUUGUCCCUUAAUUCUAUAGGCACAGUGAGACUGUGGACUGAUGAUUUGACUUUCUGAGUGGUAGUCCUUUGAGUUUUCUUUUCUCUAAAGAAAUACAACAGAAGUACAGUAUGUAAAUAGUUUCACAGGAUUCAAAUGAGUGCAUUACUGAAUUAUUACACUAGAGAUUGAAAACAGAUACAUGUUACAGAGGAAAAGAAAAACCCAACAAAAUAUUCUGAUCACAGGACAGAUUAAUUUGCUACACUGGCUAAUGGGGAAGAAAAGUCCAGUGGUUUAUAACAAAGUGUAGGUUUGGGAGUUUUCCUCCUUUGUAACAUCUGGUACUGGGUGAUGUCAAUCACAGAAUAAAAGACUGAGUAGUCAAGAAAUGUAGUUUUUA
ensembl:lncRNA